UGGGGAAUAUUGGGCAAUGGGCGAAAGCCUGACCCAGCAACGCCGCGUGAGGGAAGAAGGUUUCGGAUUGUAAACCUCUGUCCUAAGGGACGAAGGAAGUGACGGUACCUUAGGAGGAAGCCCCGGCUAACUACGUGCCAGCAGCCGCGGUAAUACGUAGGGGGCGAGCGUUGUCCGGAAUGACUGGGCGUAAAGGGCGUGUAGGCGGCUUUUAAGUCUGGAGUGAAAGUCCUGCUUUCAAGGUGGGAAUUGCUUUGGAGACUGGAGAGCUUGAGUGCGGAAGAGGUAAGUGGAAUUCCCAGUGUAGCGGUGAAAUGCGUAGAGAUUGGGAGGAACACCAGUGGCGAAGGCGACUUACUGGGCCGUAACUGACGCUGAGGCGCGAAAGCGUGGGGAGCGAACAGGAUUAGAUACCC
rnacentral:rRNA from 1 species